rnacentral:rRNA from 1 species
CCUGGCUUAGGAUGAACGCUAGCGACAGGCCUAACACAUGCAAGUCGAGGGGCAGCACAAGGAGCAAUCUGAGGUGGCGACCGGCGCACGGGUGAGUAACACGUAUGCAACCUGCCUGUAAGCGGGGAAUAACCCGUUGAAAGACGGACUAAUACCGCAUAAUACUAAAUUACUGCAUGGUAAUUUAUUUAAACAUUUAUGGCUUACAGAUGGGCAUGCGCAUGAUUAGCUAGUUGGAGAGGUAACGGCUCCCCAAGGCAACGAUCAUUAGGGGUUCUGAGAGGAAGGUCCCCCACACUGGUACUGAGACACGGACCAGACUCCUACGGGAGGCAGCAGUGAGGAAUAUUGGUCAAUGGACGAGAGUCUGAACCAGCCAAGUCGCGUGCAGGAAGAAUGUCCUAUGGAUUGUAAACUGCUUUUGCAGGGGAAUAAAGUGCAUCACGUGUGAUGUUUUGUAUGUACUCUGCGAAUAAGGAUCGGCUAACUCCGUGCCAGCCGCCGC